AUCUUCGGAUACGAGUACAGCGGCGGACGGGUGAGUAACGCGUAGGAAUCUACCUAGUAGAAGGGGAUAGCCCGGGGAAACCCGGAUUAAUACCGUAUACCUCCUUCGGGAGAAAGAAGGCCUCUCUUUGAAGCUUUCGCUACUAGAUGAGCCUGCGUAAGAUUAGCUUGUUGGUGAGGUAAAGGCUCACCAAGGCAACGAUCUUUAGCUGGUCUGAGAGGACGAUCAGCCACAUUGGGACUGAGACACGGCCCAGACUCCUACGGGAGGCAGCAGUGGGGAAUAUUGGACAAUGGGCGCAAGCCUGAUCCAGCCAUACCGCGUGUGUGAAGAAGGCCUUCGGGUUGUAAAGCACUUUAAGCAGGGAGAAAAAGUUAUAAGCUAAUACCUUAUAACCUUGAUGUUACCUGCAGAAUAAGCACCGGCUAAUUCCGUGCCAGCAGCCGCGGUAAUACGGAAGGUGCAAGCGUUAAUCGGAAUUACUGGGCGUAAAGCGCGCGUA
rnacentral:rRNA from 1 species